AGUGAACGCUGGCGGUAGGCCUAACACAUGCAAGUCGAACGGCAGCACAGUAAGAGCUUGCUCUUACGGGUGGCGAGUGGCGGACGGGUGAGGAAUACAUCGGAAUCUACUUUUUCGUGGGGGAUAACGUAGGGAAACUUACGCUAAUACCGCAUACGACCUACGGGUGAAAGCAGGGGAUCUUCGGACCUUGCGCGAUUGAAUGAGCCGAUGUCGGAUUAGCUAGUUGGCGGGGUAAAGGCCCACCAAGGCGACGAUCCGUAGCUGGUCUGAGAGGAUGAUCAGCCACACUGGAACUGAGACACGGUCCAGACUCCUACGGGAGGCAGCAGUGGGGAAUAUUGGGCAAUGGGCGCAAGCCUGAUCCAGCCAUACCGCGUGGGUGAAGAAGGCCUUCGGGUUGUAAAGCCCUUUUGUUGGGAAAGAAAAGCAGCAGGUUAAUACCCCGCUGUUUUGACGGUACCCAAAGAAUAAGCACCGGCUAACUUCGUG
rnacentral:rRNA from 1 species